GCCCACCACGCGUGAUCAGCUGUCAAGACUUUCACGUUACUCGUUAGUUUUAUAAUCACAAAUAAACAGCGAGCGACAGUCGCGGUGUGAAAACUCGUAACUGAACGCUAACUGGACUAGCAGUGUUGUGUUUUUCUUCCAAGAAUAGCUCUUCUUUAAGAGCUCGACGUUAGCUGCAGUAAUAAGAUUAUUCGUUUAGAAGAGAAAAGCCAACUGAACGGUGUACUGUCUCAUCACGGUUAUAAUGUUUCAGGAUGCAGAAGGUCCUUCCUCCCUGACAGACAUCAGCAUGUCCUGGGUGUGUCACAAUGUGGAAGUGCUUUGUGUGGCUCAAGAGGACGGGUCACUGCACUUCCACCGCUGCCCUGUGUUUCCUCAAGAGCUGGCCGAUCAGCUGCUGCACAGAAUGGCUGAUGAGGGUGUCCUCAAUGACCGAACCGUAGGCAUCUUCCAGAAUCUGGAGCACCUGCGUCUGCGCCGUGCAAACGUCCAGUCCUCGCAGCUCUCAGCCGAGGCCUUCAGACGUUCUCUCUGCCCUCACAAGCUCCAAGAGCUCAACGCUUCACAUAUACACAGCGAUGUGACGAUCUCAGAUGUUCUCCACGGUCUCUCCUCAAACAAGCUCUGCAGACAGGGCCUCCAGACGCUGCUGAUGGACGGCCUGCGUCUGUACGGGGAAGCAGGGACGGAGUCGCUCCAGGCCUCCUUCAGCAUGCUCCGGGGCCUGAAGAAGCUCUCUCUGGCCUGGACGGAUCUGGAUGACAGAGGUCUGGAGGAUAUCUGUGCCGUCCCCAUGCUGGAGAGCUUGGAUAUCUCCGGCACAAACAUCACGGACCUCACACCUCUGUUGCACUGUCAGUCACGGCUUCUGUCGCUGACGGCGCACGGGCUGCAGAAGAUGGAGAUGCCGACCUCCAGCUUCAUCUCAGUGCUCUCCAAGCUGCGUUCGCUGAGGCACCUGGACAUCUCUAAUGACAGGCUGGUAGAGGACAGAGACGGUUUGGUGCAGCAGCUGCUGGAGCGUCCAGGGAUGCUUCCUCAGCUUGUGUCGCUGGACGUGUCCGGCUGGAGAGGUGUGAGCGACGCUGCCAUCCGAGCCUUUGUGGAGGUGCGUCCGGGGCUGAGGUUCGUGGGGCUGCUGUGCACCGGAGCAGGAGGCUCUGAGCUGCUGUCUGGAGACGGACAUCUGAAGGUGGCUGGAGAGUCCAGUGUAACCCAACUGUGUGAGGCCUUGAGGAGAUACAGCAAGCGAGAGAGGUUCAUACGGGAGGUCCUUGCACAUCUCUACAGUCACACCAGUGACACGGAAGAACCUCAGCCACACAUCUUAAAGUUGGUACUUGCUGCAAUGCAACACCACACAGGUUCUCUGCAAGUUCAGCUCGUGGCCUCUGCGUGUGUGUUUAACCUGACCGUACAGGAGCUGGUGCUGGGGAUGCCCUUACGCCUGCUGGGAAAUGUAGUUCAGCAGCUUCUUACAGCCAUGAAGAACUUCCCAAUCCAAGAGCAGUUGCAGAAGAACUGCCUGCUUACUCUUUGCAGUGAUCAUAUCUUACAGGUCGCACCGUUUGACAGAUACGAAGCUGCUAAGCUGAUAAUGAUGAUGCUGGGGAAUCAUGAAGACCAGACGGUGCAGAGAAUGGCGGUGGCUGUUGUCUCCAUACUGGUGUCUAAGUUGAGCACAGAAGAGAUCGCAGAACUGGGUGCAGAGGCGUAUAUAAUGAAGCAGCUCUUGAGUAUCGUCCAGCAGAAGGCUUCUCUGGGUGUAGUGGACUCCACUCUGAAGUUUGCAUUGAGUGCUCUGUGGAACCUGACAGAUGAGACGCCCACCGCGAGUCGCCAUUUCAUUCAGUGCCAAGGAAUAGAGCUCUACAUGGAGCUGCUGGAGUCUUAUUAUUCAGAGUCCUCCAUCCAGCAGAAGCUCCUGGGUCUUCUGAAUAAUGUAGCAGAGGUGGAGGAGCUGCGGAUGGAGCUGAUGAAUGAGGAUCUGGUGGAGCACAUUCUCUCACUCCUGAUGGACCCAGUGGUGGAGGUGGACAUCAGUUACUUUGCUGGAGGGAUCCUGGCUCAUCUGGUCUCUGUCAGGGGGCCGGAGUGGGGUCUGGACGCUGAGCUGCACAGCACUGUGCAGGAGAAACUGCACUCUUCUGUCCUGUCAUGGAGUUCUCCUGAGCAUGCAAUGGUUUCAUACCGGACGUUCCAGCCCUUCUAUCCUUUGCUGCACGUCUCUCAGUGUCCCGGUGUUCAGCUCUGGGCUCUCUGGGCCAUACAGUUUGUCUGCCAAAAAAACGAUCUAAGUGAAGAAAGUAAGUCAUGAUAAUGGUGUGCUGUGGUUGUUGUAGCCCCUCAGUACUGUGAUAUGCUUCAGAGCGAAGGAGGAACAGACAUACUGCGGGUCCUGAGCUCACAUGCAGACACACACAGUGAUGUAAAGAGUCUGACAGAAAACAUCCUGAAGAUCCUGGAGCUAAACUGUCAUCCCACAAGAUCAGAGGAGGAUUUUCAUUGACGUCACAGAAAAAAUGAUGGAUUCAUAAAGGGAUGUGCCAUUUCAGAACAUUUUAGAUUCAACAAAAGAGCACAAACACUUUGCUUGGUCAUUAAAACAUUUAUUUUGGUUAAAUUAAGAGAAAUAAUGUUGGAUUUUUUUCUUUCAGUUUAUUAUUAAAGUUUGAUAUUUGUGAAAAAGUGAUUGGUUCCUCAAACACUCUUGUUAUUGGUCAGACAAACACACAGUCCUUCCCCAAACUCACCCCACUGAUGGAGCCAGUCUUGCUGUGCACGGUUGGCCAGGAUGUUCAAACAGACCAAAUAAAAAAUCUUUGCAUAUA